ACUUUCGGCUUUGUGUUCACUCAGUCUUCCCUCCUCGCCACCCCUCGCUAAAAUGGGGAAAUGUAAUUUCCCUUCCCAGAGAGGGUGGGAGGUGCAGUGGGGGAGGCGGGAAGCUGGGGUUUCGAUCCAUCCCAGCUUCUGACCCCCGCUGGGCUCCCAGGCCCAGCCCUCCCCUCACUUCCCCACUCUCGGGUGUGCCACCCCACACUGCGUGCUGGUAGGUCCCAGAGACUCGAACCCCCUCCCGUUUCUCUGCUUUGUCAUUGUCAUCCUAGCGCCAUCACCAGCUCACUGUCCUGCAAAAGAUGGAUGGCCAGAUCUGAACACGCUGUCUGGUUCCUGGAACUGCCACUUAAAGGCUUCCGAGGCAGAGGCUGUGUCAGGAGACGGCAAGGCCAGGAAGAUGUGGGUGAUCUGUGAGUCCUUUAACACCCAGGAAAUGAAAGUGAAGACAAGAAGACACUUGAAUAAAGACAGAGUGGGGACAAUGAUGACAGACCAGCGGAUAGGAGAAAGAGGAGAAAACGGUAACUUAAAAAAAUGAUGACACCAAGGCAAAUGAAGGUGGAGGAAAUGAGAAAAUACCGGGUUCUUGCAAAGUGAUGGGCGUUAUCCCUAAGUAUAGGAGCAAAAGAAUCCAAUCAUGACAUGGUAAAUAAGUUUUUUGGGGGGUUUGUUUUUGUUUUUGUUUUUUUGUCUUUUUGCCUUUUCUAGGGCUGCACCCUCAGCAUAUGGAGGUUCCCAGGCUAGGGGUCCAAUCGGAGCUGUAGCCGCCAGCCUACACCACAACCACAGCAGCAUGGGAUCUGAGCUGCAUCUGUGACCUACACCACAGCUCACGGCAACGCCGGAUCCUUCACCCACUGAGCAAGGCCAGGGAUCGAACCCGCAACCUCAUGGUUCCUAGUCGGAUUCGUUAACCACUGAGCCACGACGGGAACUCCUGUUUUUGCUUUUUAGCUUCCUGAACAUUUAGCAGGACAGUCAGACACCUGCGGGAUGUCGGGGCAAUCCUGCAGAAUGAGGGACUGUCCGGCUCCAACGGGCGCAGUCUCUGCGACUGCGAACACACCCACAAAUUCCCAAGCUACCUCUAGGGGGCAGUCUUUCACUCACUCACCCCUGUGAGCUGCAUUCCUGCUUACCAGAUGCAAGAUCUUUUUUCUUUUUUCUUUUUUUAUUUGGGGGGGGGGUCGCUUUAAGGCCUCACCUGUAUCAUAUGGAAGGUCCCAGGCUAGGGGUCGAAUCAGAGCUGCAGCUGCUGGCCUACACCACAGCCACAGCAAUGCGGGAUCCUUAACCCACUGAGCGAGGCCAGGGAUCGAACCUGCAUACUCAUGGAUACUAGAUGGGUUCAUUACUGCUGCGCCACAACGAGAACUCCACCAGCUACAAGAUCUUGAGCCCACGUCUGAGCUUCAGUCUGCUCAUCUGUAAAGGGAGAAUGGCGACAGCACCUGUGGUAUAAAAGGGCUUCCUCCAGAGCCACCCAGGGCGCACUGCUGCUUUCCUUUUCCUUCUUCUCCUCCUCCGCCUCCUUCUUCUUAUUUUGGCGGAGCCGGAGGCAUGUGGAAGUUCCUGGGCCAAGGAUCAAACCCAAACCACAGCAGUGGAUAACUGCCAGAUCCUUGACACGCUGCGUCACCAGGGAACACCUCCCCCAUUCUUCAAAGAAGGAAAACAGAGGCUCAGAGAGUGACUCAAUCAAGGUCACAAGGCUGGUGAGUGGCCAAGGAUUCCUCCCACGGUCUACCUGAUCUAGUUUCAGGGCUCAUUCGAAGCAAUACAGCUGACCAAACACUGGCAAAGAUUUCACAGCUGUGUGUAUGGAGGCAUCUGUUGGGGAUUCAUCCUUCCUGCCUUCCUUCCAAACAGCGUCUGCUUGGACCCGGUCAGGACCGAGGAUGCACAGAACUACAUGUACACCUGCAGCAUAUGGAAGUUCCCAGGCUCUGGGUUGAAUUGGAACUGCACCUGCCGGCCUACACCACAGCCACAGCAAGGAGGGAUGCAAGCCACAUCUGCAACCUACAGCACAGCUCACAGCAAUGCUGGGUCCCGGACCCACUGAGCGAGGCCAGGGAUCGAACCUGCAUCCUCAUGGAUACUAGAUGGAUUCAUUUCCACUGCACCACAACAGGAACUCCCUGUGGUGAGAAUUAAAGGGCCAAUUCUUACAAAUGCUUAGCAUAGUACCCAGAAUGUAUUAAGUGUUUAACACAUGUUAUCAUUAUUGAUGAGGGCAGGCAUCACGUCUCUGUUAUCACUUGUUAUGCCUGAAGCCUGGCACACAGUUAGCCCCCAAUAAAUGACUAGUUGAAUACAUAGCACUGCGUUGAGAUCGAUCCUGCUUUUUCAGCUUCCAGAUGCUCUGUUAUGAGGGAACUGAGAGGCCCAGUCCUAGUCCUACAAAGAGCUAUAAAGACACAUGACUGUCCUCCAUGGAGCCGGGAAACGAGGUCUCCUUGACCUUGACCGUACUUGUUUCUUGUGCCGGAAGAAUGAAGCCCGGAUCCUGGGGGCAGGGGUAGGCAGAGGGAGGGGCCAAGAGAGAAUGGACUUUUGGGAACCCAUCAGCUGGACCUGCAGGGUCCAAAAGAUGACUCAACAGGGAAAGUCAAAAGGUGUGUUUUCCAUCCUGUAGCCUCCAGGUGUGAUUGGCCCAUUAACCACCUGCCAGUCACAAGGAAGUUUAUUUUCUUUCUGCUGUGACUAUAUCUUCAUGACAUUCAAGGAGAUUGCCAGGCAUGCCUGUUACAGUCCGGCAUGAUCAGCCUGGAGUAAACAGUGUGCGGGAGCUCUCAGGAGGGCACCUAACCCAGCAGGGGAUGGGGGUGUCGGGGUGGUGGUGGAGAAGGUUGGGGAGAGGAUCAGGGCAGACUUCCUGGAGGCAGUGACGCUUGACUGUAAUAAAGACAGGAGUUAAACCAUUCAAGUCCAGAAAGCCUGGAUAGCAUGAGGGAGGUUCAAAGGAUCAGGAGCUUCCCUCCAAGAGAAUCAAGGUGACCCAGGUGACAUCACUGUAUAUCAAGUGGGCUCAAGAAGCUUCAAUGAUGUGAAACAAGAGACAUCUAUAUGACUUUAUAGCCCCAGUCCAGAGAACCCCUCAAACUUGGCUGCUGUGCUUGGAAUUAUUCUUGGCUAUGUGAUAAUCACCUUGAGUAUACACGGAUGCAAUAUUGAUAAGAAUUUUUUUUUGUUUUUAGGGCCACACCAUAUGGAAGUUCCCAGGCUAGAGUUUGAA